rnacentral:rRNA from 1 species
AUUGAACGCUGGCGGCAUGCCUUACACAUGCAAGUCGAACGGCAGCACGGGAGCUUGCUCCUGGUGGCGAGUGGCGAACGGGUGAGUAAUGCAUCGGAACGUGCCCUGAAGUGGGGGAUAACGUAGCGAAAGUUACGCUAAUACCGCAUAUUCUGUGAGCAGGAAAGCAGGGGAUCUUCGGACCUUGCGCUUUUGGAGCGGCCGAUGUCGGAUUAGCUAGUUGGUGGGGUAAAGGCCCACCAAGGCGACGAUCCGUAGCGGGUCUGAGAGGAUGAUCCGCCACACUGGAACUGAGACACGGUCCAGACUCCUACGGGAGGCAGCAGUGGGGGAAUUUUGGGACAAUGGGCGCAAGCCUGAUCCAGCCAUGCCGCGUGAGUGAAGAAGGCCUUCGGGUUGUUAAAGGACUC